AGUGAACGCUGGCGGCGUGCUUAACACAUGCAAGUCGAACGAGAACGGAUUAUAGCUUGCUAUAAUUGUCAGCUAAGUGGCGCACGGGUGAGUAAUGUAUAGAUAACCUGCCCUUAAGAAAGGAAUAACAGUUGGAAACGACUGCUAAUGCCCUAUAUGCCUUUAAUACAUAAGUAUGCAAGGGAAACGCUUUAGUGCUUAAGGAUGGGUCUGUAUGGUAUCAGCUUGUUGGUGAGGUAAUGGCUCACCAAGGCUAUGACGCCUAACUGGUUUGAGAGGAUGAUCAGUCACACUGGAACUGAGACACGGUCCAGACUCCUACGGGAGGCAGCAGUGGGGAAUAUUGCACAAUGGACGAAAGUCUGAUGCAGCAACGCCGCGUGGAGGAUGACACAUUUCGGUGCGUAAACUCCUUUUAUAUAGGAAGAUAAUGACGGUACUAUAUGAAUAAGCACCGGCUAACUCCGUGCCAGCAGCCGCGGUAAUACGGAGGGUGCAGGCGUUACUCGGAAUCACUGGGCGUAAAGAGCGUGUAGGCGGGUAUAUAAGUCAGAAGUGAAAUCCAAUAGCUCAACUAUUGAACUGCUUUUGAAACUGUAUACCUAGAAUGUGGGAGAGGUAGAUGGAAUUUCUGGUGUAGGGGUAAAAUCCGUAGAGAUCAGAAGGAAUACCGAUUGCGAAGGCGAUCUACUGGAACAUUAUUGACGCUGAGACGCGAAAGCGUGGGGAGCAAACA
rnacentral:rRNA from 1 species